rnacentral:rRNA from 1 species
GACGAAGGGGGCUAGCGUUGUUCGGAAUUACUGGGCGUAAAGCGCGUGUAGGCGGUUGUUCAAGUCAGGUGUGAAAGCCUUGAGCUCAACUCAAGAAAUGCACUUGAUACUGGAUGACUAGAGGACCGGAGAGGAUAGUGGAAUUCCCAGUGUAGUGGUGAAAUACGUAGAGAUUGGGAAGAACACCAGUGGCGAAGGCGAAUCUCUGGACAGUUACUGACACUGAG